GUUGUAUGGUUAAGUGACUAAGCGUACACGGUGGAUGCCUUGGCAGUCAGAGGCGAUGAAAGACGUAGUAACUUGCGAUAAGCCCAGAUUAGGUAGUAACAACCAUUUGAGUCUGGGAUUUCUGAAUGGGGAAACCCACGUGCAUAAGCACGUAUCCUUACCUGAAUACAUAGGGUAAGGAGGCGAACCGGGGGAACUGAAACAUCUAAGUACCCCGAGGAAAAGAAAUCAACCGAGAUUCCGAAAGUAGCGGCGAGCGAAAUUGGACUAGCCCUUAAGCUUUACACGCGUUAGACGAACGGUCUGGAAAGUCCGACGAUACAGGGUGAUAGUCCCGUAGUUGACGACGUGUGUUCAGUGAAAUCGAGUAGGGCGGGACACGUGAUAUCCUGUCUGAAUAUGGGGGGACCAUCCUCCAAGGCUAAAUACUACUGACUGACCGAUAGUGAACCAGUACCGUGAGGGAAAGGCGAAAAGAACCCCUGUGAGGGGAGUGAAAUAGAACCUGAAACCGUGUACGUACAAGCAGUAGGAGCAGGCUUUGUCCUGUGACUGCGUACCUUUUGUAUAAUGGGUCAGCGACUUAUAUUCAGUGGCAAGGUUAACCAUCUAGGGGAGCCGUAGGGAAACCGAGUCUUAACUGGGCGUUCAGUCUCUGGAUAUAGACCCGAAACCAGGUGAUCUAGCCAUGGGCAGGUUGAAGGUUGAGUAACAUCAACUGGAGGACCGAACCGACUAAUGUUGAAAAAUUAGCGGAUGACUUGUGGCUAGGGGUGAAAGGCCAAUCAAACCUGGAGAUAGCUGGUUCUCCCCGAAAGCUAUUUAGGUAGCGCCUCGGACGAAUACUACUGGGGGUAGAGCACUGUUAAGGCUAGGGGGUCAUCCCGACUUACCAACCCUUUGCAAACUCCGAAUACCAGUAAGUACUAUCCGGGAGACACACGGCGGGUGCUAACGUCCGUCGUGGAGAGGGAAACAACCCAGACCGCCAGCUAAGGUCCCAAAUUACUACUAAGUGGGAAACGAUGUGGGAAGGCUCAGACAGCCAGGAUGUUGGCUUAGAAGCAGCCAUCAUUUAAAGAAAGCGUAAUAGCUCACUGGUCGAGUCGGCCUGCGCGGAAGAUGUAACGGGGCUAAGUAGUAAACCGAAGCUGCGGCAAUAUACUUUUGUAUAUUGGGUAGGGGAGCGUUCUGUAAGCGGUUGAAGGUGUGUGGUAACGCAUGCUGGACGUAUCAGAAGUGCGAAUGCUGACAUGAGUAACGAUAAAGGGGGUGAAAAACCUCCUCGCCGGAAGACCAAGGGUUCCUGUCCAACGUUAAUCGGGGCAGGGUAAGUCGACCCCUAAGGCGAGGCCGAAAGGCGUAGUCGAUGGGAAACGGGUUAAUAUUCCCGUACUUCUUACAAUUGCGAUGGGGGGACGGAGAAGGCUAGGUGGGCCUGGCGACGGUUGUCCAGGUUCAAGUGCGUAGGCUUAAGAGUUAGGUAAAUCCGGCUCUUUCUAAGGCUGAGACACGACGUCGAGCACCUACGGGUGUGAAGUCAUUGAUGCCAUGCUUCCAGGAAAAGCCUCUAAGCUUCAGAUUGUAAGGAAUCGUACCCCAAACCGACACAGGUGGUCGGGUAGAGAAUACCAAGGCGCUUGAGAGAACUCGGGUGAAGGAACUAGGCAAAAUGGUACCGUAACUUCGGGAGAAGGUACGCUCUCGACGGUGAAGUCCCUCGCGGAUGGAGCUAUUGAGAGUCGCAGAUACCAGGUGGCUGCAACUGUUUAUUAAAAACACAGCACUGUGCAAAAUCGUAAGAUGACGUAUACGGUGUGACGCCUGCCCGGUGCCGGAAGGUUAAUUGAUGGGGUUAGACUUCGGUCGAAGCUCUUGAUCGAAGCCCCGGUAAACGGCGGCCGUAACUAUAACGGUCCUAAGGUAGCGAAAUUCCUUGUCGGGUAAGUUCCGACCUGCACGAAUGGCGUAAUGAUGGCCACGCUGUCUCCACCCGAGACUCAGUGAAAUUGAAAUCGCUGUGAAGAUGCAGUGUACCCGCGGCUAGACGGAAAGACCCCGUGAACCUUUACUACAGCUUGGCACUGAACAUUGACCCUACAUGUGUAGGAUAGGUGGGAGGCUUUGAAGCACGUACGCCAGUAUGUGUGGAGCCGUCCUUGAAAUACCACCCUUGUAGUGUUGAUGUUCUAACGUUGACCCCUAAUCGGGGUUGCGGACAGUGCCUGGUGGGUAGUUUGACUGGGGCGGUCUCCUCCCAAAGAGUAACGGAGGAGCACGAAGGUGGGCUAAUCACGGUUGGACAUCGUGAGGUUAGUGCAAUGGCAUAAGCCCGCUUGACUGCGAGAAUGACAAUUCGAGCAGGUGCGAAAGCAGGUCAUAGUGAUCCGGUGGUUCUGAAUGGAAGGGCCAUCGCUCAACGGAUAAAAGGUACUCCGGGGAUAACAGGCUGAUACCGCCCAAGAGUUCAUAUCGACGGCGGUGUUUGGCACCUCGAUGUCGGCUCAUCACAUCCUGGGGCUGAAGUCGGUCCCAAGGGUAUGGCUGUUCGCCAUUUAAAGUGGUACGCGAGCUGGGUUUAGAACGUCGUGAGACAGUUCGGUCCCUAUCUGCCGUGGGCGUUGGAAGAUUGAAGGGGGCUGCUCCUAGUACGAGAGGACCGGAGUGGACGAACCUCUGGUGUUCGGGUUGUGUCGCCAGACGCAUUGCCCGGUAGCUAAGUUCGGAAUCGAUAACCGCUGAAAGCAUCUAAGCGGGAAGCGAGCCCUGAGAUGAGUCUUCCCUGAUACUUUAAGUAUCCUAAAGGGUUGUCGGAGACUACGACGUUGAUAGGUCAGGUGUGUAAGUGCUGUGAGGCAUUGAGCUAACUGAUACUAAUUGCCCGUGAGGCUUAACCAUACAACACCCAAGGGGUUU
rnacentral:rRNA from 1 species